GCUAAACGCGAAGAACCUUACCAAGGCUUGACAUACACCGGAAACGGCCAGAGAUGGUCGCCCCGCAAGGUCGGUGUACAGGUGGUGCAUGGUUGUCGUCAGCUCGUGUCGUGAGAUGUUGGGUUAAGUCCCGCAACGAGCGCAACCCUCGUUCUAUGUUGCCAGCACGUAAUGGUGGGAACUCAUGGGAUACUGCCGGGGUCAACUCGGAGGAAGGUGGGGAUGACGUCAAAUCAUCAUGCCCCUUAUGUCUUGGGCUUCACGCAUGCUACAAUGGCCGGUACAAAGGGCUGCAAUACCGUGAGGUGGAGCGAAUCCCAAAAGCCGGUCCCAGUUCGGAUUGAGGUCUGCAACUCGACCUCAUGAAGUCGGAGUCGCUAGUAAUCGCAGAUCAGCAACGCUGCGGUGAAUACGU
rnacentral:rRNA from 1 species